AUUGAACGCUGGCGGCAUGCCUUACACAUGCAAGUCGAACGGCAGCACGGGAGCUUGCUCCUGGUGGCGAGUGGCGAACGGGUGAGUAAUACAUCGGAACGUACCCAGUAGUGGGGGAUAACGCACCGAAAGGUGCGCUAAUACCGCAUACGACCUACGGGGGAAAGCGGGGGACCGUAAGGCCUCGCGGUAUUGGAGCGGCCGAUGUCUGAUUAGCUAGUUGGUGAGGUAAAGGCUCACCAAGGCUUCGAUCAGUAGCUGGUCUGAGAGGACGAUCAGCCACACUGGGACUGAGACACGGCCCAGACUCCUACGGGAGGCAGCAGUGGGGAAUUUUGGACAAUGGGCGAAAGCCUGAUCCAGCAAUGCCGCGUGUGCGAAGAAGGCCUUCGGGUUGUAAAGCACUUUUGUCAGGGAAGAAAUCUUUUAGGCUAAUACCCUGGAAGGAUGACGGUACCUGAAGAAUAAGCACCGGCUAACUACGUGCCAGCAGCCGCCGUAA
rnacentral:rRNA from 1 species